rnacentral:rRNA from 1 species
CUCGUAGUUCGGAGUUCUGCCAGGUGACGCUCGUCCGCCCAAGUGGUGUGUUCAGGGCGUGCAUCUGGCCCCUUCAAGGGGAACUUUGUUGCACUUUAUUGCGUGGCGCGAGAUCCUUGACUUUUACUUUGAGGAAAUAAGAGUGUUCCAAGCAGGCUCUCGUCGUGCAUAGCUCAGCAUGGAAUAAUAGCAUUGGACUUCGUUUCUACGCUGUUGGUUGCAAGAAGCGAGGUAAUGAUGAAGAGGGAUAGUUGGGGGCAUUCGUAUUUAACUGUCAGACGUGAAAUUCUUGCCAUUUGUCAAAGACGGACUACUGCGAAAGCAUCUGCCAUGUAUGUUUUCAUUGAUCAAGAACGAAACUUAGGAGAUCGAACACGAUCACAUACCGUCCUAGUCUUAACUAUAAACCAUG